UGGUGGUUUGAGAGGAACGAUAUUGUUUUUGGAAGCCGUGAAGACGUUAUGAUAUGAGACAUAAUCCACACGAAAGGGCGGCACAUUCAGUUAAAGGACCUUUUUCUAGGAUCUUGUUUGUGGAGGAGAAUGAAAAGUAACUGUUGACUCUGUGUUUCUGGUGUCGUCUGCUGAGCUCCUGCCUCUGUGAACAUGUACACAUCUGACAGGUUUUGUUAAACCAGAAAAGCAGGAUGAGCCUCUCAGAGGAAUGUGACCAGGACAGUUCCAC